rnacentral:rRNA from 1 species
CGGGUGGGGAGUCAGCGGCGAACGGGGUGAGUAACACGUGGGCAACCUGCCCCUAGCUCUGGGAUAACUCCGGGAAACCGGGGCUAAUACCGGAUACGACUUCCUACGGCAUCUUGGGAAGUGGAAAGUUUUUCGGCUAGGGAUGGGCCCGCGGCCUAUCAGCUUGUUGGUGGGGUAAUGGCCCACCAAGGCGACGACGGGUAGCCGGCCUGAGAGGGCGACCGGCCACACUGGGACUGAGACACGGCCCAG